UAAAGCGCACGCAGGCGGUUUGUUAAGUCAGAUGUGAAAUCCCCGGGCUCAACCUGGGAACUGCACCUGAG
rnacentral:rRNA from 1 species